rnacentral:tRNA from 1 species
GGCGCCGUGGCCAAGUGGUAAGGCAGAGGUCUGCAAAACCUUUAUCACCGGUUCGAUCCCGGUCGGCGCCUCCA